rnacentral:rRNA from 1 species
GAUGAACGCUGGCGGCGUGCCUAAUACAUGCAAGUCGAGCGAACGGACGAGAAGCUUGCUUCUCUGAUGUUAGCGGCGGACGGGUGAGUAACACGUGGAUAACCUACCCAUAAGACUGGGAUAACUUCGGGAAACCGGAGCUAAUACCGGAUAAUAUUUUGAACCGCAUGGUUCAAAAGUGAAAGACGGUCUUGCUGUCACUUAUAGAUGGACCCGCGCUGCAUUAGCUAGUUGGUAAGGUAACGGCUUACCAAGGCAACGAUGCAUAGCCGACCUGAGAGGGUGAUCGGCCACACUGGAACUGAGACACGGUCCAGACUCCUACGGGAGGCAGCAGUAGGGAAUCUUCCGCAAUGGGCGAAAGCCUGACGGAGCAACGCCGCGUGAGUGAUGAAGGUCUUCGGAUCGUAAAACUCUGUUAUUAGGGAAGAACAUAUGUGUAAGUAACUGUGCACAUCUUGACGGUACCUAAUCAGAAAGCCACGGCUAACUACGUGCCAGCAGCCGCGGUAAUACGUAGGUGGCAAGCGUUAUCCGGAAUUAUUGGGCGUAAAGCGCGCGUAGGCGGUUUUUUAAGUCUGAUGUGAAAGCCCACGGCUCAACCGUGGAGGGUCAUUGGAAACUGGAAAACUUGAGUGCAGAAGAGGAAAGUGGAAUUCCAUGUGUAGCGGUGAAAUGCGCAGAGAUAUGGAGGAACACCAGUGGCGAAGGCGACUUUCUGGUCUGUAACUGACGCUGAUGUGCGAAAGCGUGGGGAUCAAACAGGAUUAGAUACCCUGGUAGUCCACGCCGUAAACGAUGAGUGCUAAGUGUUAGGGGGUUUCCGCCCCUUAGUGCUGCAGCUAACGCAUUAAGCACUCCGCCUGGGGAGUACGACCGCAAGGUUGAAACUCAAAGGAAUUGACGGGGACCCGCACAAGCGGUGGAGCAUGUGGUUUAAUUCGAAGCAACGCGAAGAACCUUACCAAAUCUUGACAUCCUUUGACAACUCUAGAGAUAGAGCCUUCCCCUUCGGGGGACAAAGUGACAGGUGGUGCAUGGUUGUCGUCAGCUCGUGUCGUGAGAUGUUGGGUUAAGUCCCGCAACGAGCGCAACCCUUAAGCUUAGUUGCCAUCAUUAAGUUGGGCACUCUAAGUUGACUGCCGGUGACAAACCGGAGGAAGGUGGGGAUGACGUCAAAUCAUCAUGCCCCUUAUGAUUUGGGCUACACACGUGCUACAAUGGACAAUACAAAGGGCAGCGAAACCGCGAGGUCAAGCAAAUCCCAUAAAGUUGUUCUCAGUUCGGAUUGUAGUCUGCAACUCGACUACAUGAAGCUGGAAUCGCUAGUAAUCGUAGAUCAGCAUGCUACGGUGAAUACGUUCCCGGGUCU